rnacentral:rRNA from 1 species
UACGUAGGGUGCGAGCGUUGUCCGGAUUUAUUGGGCGUAAAGAGCUCGUAGGCGGUUUGUCGCGUCGGCCGUGAAAUCUCCACGCUUAACGUGGAGCGUGCGGUCGAUACGGGCAGACUUGAGUUCGGUAGGGGAGACUGGAAUUCCUGGUGUAGCGGUGAAAUGCGCAGAUAUCAGGAGGAACACCGGUGGCGAAGGCGGUUCUCUGGGCCUGUACUGACGCUGAGGAACGAAAGCGUGGGGAGCGAACAGG